AUUGAACGCUGGCGGCAGGCCUAACACAUGCAAGUCGAACGAGCGGCGGACGGGUGAGUAAUGUCUGGGAAACUGCCCGAUGGAGGGGGAUCACUACUGGAAACGGUAGCUAAUACCGCAUACCAUCGGAUGAGCCCAGAUGGGAUUAGCUAGUAGGUGGGGUAACGGCUCACCUAGGCGGCGAUCCCUAGCUGGUCUGAGAGGAUGACCAGCGACGCGGGGACGGAGAAACGGACAAGAAUCCUACGGGAGGCAGCAGUGGGGAAUAUUGCACAAUGGGAGCAAGCCUGAUGCAGCCAUGCCGCGUGUAUGAAGAAGGCCUUAGGGUUGUAAAGUACUAUCAGCGCGGAGGCGUUACUCGCAGAAGAAGCACCGGCUAACUCCGUGCCAGCAGCCGCGGUAAUAC
rnacentral:rRNA from 1 species